CAGAACGGACCAAACAUGGAGUCUUAGCGCACGCGCACUUCCCUCCUAAUACCUGGCCCGGUCUCCCACCAUUACCCAAAGUGUAAACAAAGUAGUCGGGACGUUGUCCUUUUCUUCCACUUAUAUUUCAAUCUUGUGUUGCUGAAACCCGAUCAUUUUGCCUCGUCGUCAAGCCCCAGGUUCUUGCGUUACUGUUGGUGUAGUAGUUGAAAGGAGGUAAAGAUGAGUCAGUCCCCUCGACGAAGCCUCAAUGGGGUUUCACCCUCCCGAGACAGAUCUAGGGACAGGGAUCCUUCAUUUUCAAGGUCAAGGUCACGUUCCUCAGACCGCCGUGAUAGCUAUAAAUACUCUUCACGAAGAUCUACCUCUCCAAGAUACCGUGAAGAACGUUACAGAGAUGAUAAGUAUUCUACAUCAUCACGACGACGUUACUCCCGGUCACCAUCUUAUUCCAGGAGCCGCCGUGGCAAUAGAUCUCGCACAAGAUCCCCAAUGUCUACUCGCCGCAGACAUCAUGGAAGCAGAGAGGACCCUAGCCCCAGUACGUGUUUAGGUGUGUUUGGCUUAAGCAUCUAUACCAGUGAGAGACAGCUUCACCACCUCUUUGGAAAAUAUGGACCUCUGGCAAAAGUUCAAGUUGUUCUUGAUGCCAAAACUGGACGGUCACGUGGCUUUGCUUUUAUAUAUUUUGAGCAUAUGGAUGAUGCCACAGAAGCUAAAGAACAAUGCACUGGUAUGGAAAUAGAUGGCCGCAGGAUUAGGGUAGAUUAUUCCAUCACAGAGCGCGCGCACACACCUACCCCUGGUAUCUACAUGGGAAGACCUACAAAUAGGUCCAGUGGAUAUGGAGGAAGAAGAACUGGUGGUGGUAGUGGUGGUGGCGGUGGUGGUGGAGGCCGUUAUGGUGGUGGCUAUGGUAGUGGUGGUGGUGGUGGAGGAAGUCGUCGACGAUCCCCAUCACCUUAUCGUAGAGGCCGCUCAGGAAGAAAUUCUUACAGAUCAAGAUCUCGUUCUUACUCGCCACGCCGGGCAUGAUCAUGUGAGGCGCAAUAAUAGCUCUAGAUGUUCGAUCCGGUUUGCCUCAGGCUUGAAGAGAGGAUAUAUUGGAAGAUAAGGAAAUCUAAUAUAAGAAGCUCAUUAGGGAGAAGAUCAUGGCGAAGAUUGAUUGGCUGGAAUAAUUCAUCACUUAAGAAACCGAGCGUUUCAAGCUAGUCUAGAAAAUUAAGGUCAAGCUUCUGAAGAUCCGCUAUUAUUUACGAAGCUAAUCGGGAAAGUUGACGAAGCAUUUACGAAGGAUGAAAACAUUUGAAGAAGAGAUAUUUGUCCGGGGAGAGGGUUGAUUCAAGAGAGAAAAGGGUAAGAAGGGAAGUACAGUAAUUGAUAGGUCAAGAUACUGGCAAAGAAGAGAAAGAAAAAGAGGGAGAAAGAAAAGUUGGCAAAAGUGCGAAUGGUCCACCUGUCACCUUGGCCAAGCACCAACUCAUCAUCUCAGAGCGCUUCUUCCUGUCAGGGAAUGUCAUAAAAACUUUUUCCCAGGUAAUCCUUCAUCUCAUUUGACUCAAGCAUUUUGUUCGUUACAUACAGUCAUUUUCAGUUCAUAAAUACUGGCAAUAGAUAUGAAGUAUAUAUACAUUUUACACAGGUUGAGUGAUAUAUUCACCAAACCUCAAAAAAAUGCAGUGUAUUAUGUAAACACAUGUAUUAUUAUACAUAAACAUACACUAAUCAUAAAUAACAAAUACUUGGUUUAUUAUAUCAGCAACCUAUCCCCAGUAAUUAUCAAUGAAUGUGCGUUUAUUAGAUAUACGUUUAGUAGUGCACACUUGUAAUAUAUGUUUUUGCAUCUUGUGUUGUGUAUAAUUGAGUAAUGUACAUGUGUUUAUGUAUAUACAUGCAGUGGUGUCAUGGCUUACAUAAUUUUUGGGGGAAGCACAGGUUGCGGCAAAAAAAUAUUUUUUGCAUAUUAAGAUUUCGCAUUUUCAGGUCACCAAGUAACAUACUGGAUCUUCAAGAUCAUCAUUGCCAGAAAAUUAAUUUCAUGUACAUCAGUAUUGUUUGAAUUAAUGCAGUUUGUCUCGUAGGCGACGAUUCUAUUAUUCAUAGGUUUUUCAUACUUCUAAAGCAAGAAAUAUCACAAUAGCUGUAAUGAAAGUAUUUCAGUGAAAUAUAGGAAAAACCUUUUAUAAAUUUGAUAAAUGGGAUAGGCAAGCCAUGUUUUGACUGUCCAGCUUUUCUAGGUAGGGACAUGUUUAACCAUACUACUGUUUUCAGUGUUCCCUUUCCAGCUUGCCGUUAAUGAGCACGAAAUGCUUUUCUGUCAGAGAUAGUUUGACCAUCUCCAAUUUUUUCCCUUCAAAUUUUUUGUCAGUAACUGUUUUUACUACUGAAUCAGUAUGGACAUUAAUGUGUAAAAGAAAAGAAAAGAGACAUGUUAAAUGUGGGUGGGAGACAGACUAGAUCCUUAAAAUAUGUGCUUUGGCUGUUGACGAAACCAUUUGUUUAACCCGAGAUAAACAAGCUAGGUAGGAAUGUUCCACGUGAAGUUGAUGAAAUUUUGCUCAAAGGAAAUGCCAUGGUUUACUGAACUUCUGUAAGUUUUGAAUACUAAUUCGUCUAAAAUUAUCUGUGUCUGUAAGACGAGAUAUGGCUUUGAUGUUAUGCAAUGUGUAGUAAAGGGGAAAAAAAAAAAAAGCAAGCACAUCUGAACUGGAUGAUAUAUUGCGAGUGAAGAGUCCACAGCAUUUAUUACUUAACACUGUUAUUCAGUCAAGUCAAGGUGUUUACAGACAGCUUGAUGUUAAUGGUGGUUGCGGUGUAGUCUUGUGGUUAGAAAAUUUAUUUAAACAGGCAUAACUAAUGAAUAGUUUUUUUAUCCCCACCCCCUGUAGAUACAGAGGAGUUGGGGAAAUUAACAUGAACUUUGCAGUAAAAAUUCCUGCUGCAUUGUUAUGAAGUACUUUACUAUACCACUUUUCAUUUUAAUGAACAUUAAAAGGCAGUCAAUAUGUAGUUUAAUUAAAUGGAUGCUGUAUUACCAUCAAAUCAUAUAAAGGCUGUGCAUUCUUUCCAUAUUGACAAUACUACCGGAAAAAAUAUUCCCAUAGACUUUCUAAUUGAUACAGCACAUAGGAACAUUAUGAAAAAGUCAAAAAGUUUCCCCUGAACCUUCAGCAUUUUCAGUUUAGUAAGCAUUAAAGUCAAGUUUGUGAUUUAGCAAACCCUUUGAUCAUAAACUUACCUGUUGAAAUGAUCAUAAACUUACCUGUUGAAAAGUUUUGUUGACUCAACAGAGAAAAAAGCUACAGAUUUUCUGCCUAAUGCGAGACUGAUAAAAAUUUAGCACUUAAUAUUUGGACAUAAUGUAAAGGAUUGCUGAUUGUUCAAGUAUUUUUGCCACAGCAGUUAUUCAACAUAGAAAAACAGUAGCUGAAGACCAGCUACAGCAGGAGGACAAUUUCUUUACUAAUUGAAUGUAUUUUCAUUUUAAAAAUAGGUGUUAAAAACCACUUUAUUAAAAGCGCAACAUUCUUUUGCAAAUCACACAAAUUUUUUUUUUAGAAUCUUGUGCAUUCUGAUCACUUUAUUUUUUUUUUUUUUUAUUUUUUUUUUUCUUCAUUAGAUGCAUGAAUUGCUACUUUGCAAGUGCAGUCUCUAGGCCAGCCAUAUUAAGCAUCAAGACUCAAAUGUCCCAAGUUCACAUGUCAAGGCAUUAAACAGCAGAUUGUGGAUGAUUUAAAUUUUUUGUUAGUGGCAGUCCCAGGAAUAUCUGAUUAAACUGUGCUGGAGGUAAAUCUUGAGGGUAUGGAAGGCUUACUGUAAUAUGAACAAAAAGUAACAAAAACAGCCACAAACAACUGUACCUUCUCCAGCCCAUAUAGUUGGACAUUAGAUUACUAACGAAAGUGGAAAUUAAGGAAAUCCUAACCUCUACCUGGUCAUUCAAUGAUCAUUAUCUGCUCCCUCUCCAGCCCAUGUGCGCUCAAGCACUGACAGGUGUUGGAGUAGUCAUAAAGGCCUUGCUAUCAUAUUCAACAUCAUUAUCCGCUUUUUAUCCAGUAUGUUGAAACGUUUCUUUGGAAGUUGAAGCUUUUCUUUUAAGAACCAGUAGAUCAAACCCAAGUGACCCCUCCACCUGCCAAUCUCUGUCAUUGACAAUCCUGUUUAGCUUUGGAAUGCACAAUACACAGGGCAGGUUCAAUACUCCUAACUUCUCUUCUGCUAUAGGGGAAAUUCUUUUGUUAAUUUUUGAAGCUCUUGAACUUAGUUGUGUUGAACCAGUAAAUUUAUUUUGGAAAGCCACUUUAUAAUUUGGAUGUAAUGAUUCUCUGGUCUGGACAAAAUUGUGACUAAAAUACAGUGGAAACUGGUGAAUUUUAAUAAUUUUUGUUUCAGGUAGUCUCUUGACUGCAUCCUCUGGAUGGCAUUCUUACAUAUAAGGAUUGUGGUUAUUUUUUGUAGAAUUUGUAAAGGCAAAACAGCAUAGCAUCAGGUUUUGUGUCCUACAUUGUUUUUUUUUUGUGAAGGACAGAGGCAAGUAGUUUCAAGUUUUAAUACCAAUGUUUUCUUUGCAUUCGGAUUCAUACACAUUACAAAAAAAGAAAAAAACCAUGUCAGAAAUUUACAUCGACCACACAUGAGAUUCUUGAGAUAAAACAUGUAAUUUAGUACCCUACUCGGGUGAGAGUCAAGAAAGGCCUUUUUGUGUAUCAGCUACAUUUAUCCUUUGAUUGUAUUUUAUAAUUUAGAUUCCAUUCAUUGGGCAGAGAGAACCUAUGUAUAUGCUGAGUGACCUUACUUGCUUAACUGGUGUGUGUAUGCUUAUACAGGCAGCCCAUAGACAAGGCUGCAGAUAUUUUCUGCAACUAAUUUAUAACAUUAUUAACUUGAAACUACAUAUUCAAUAUUCAUAAAAUACUGUUGAAACUAUGCAAAUACAGAUAGUAAAAUAUUAACUUGAAACUACAUAUUCAGUAUUCAUAAAAUACUGUUGAAACUAUGCAGAUACAGAUAGUAAAAUAAUUUAAGCAAGAAAAUUUAGUUUGAGGAAAUUUGAUUAUGCUGCGGAAUAAAAGUCAUUUUUUCAUUCAGAUAUCUAGUAUUUUAGUAUCCGCAGUCAUUCCUCUAGAGGGUAUUCUUAUCUAGUCAGCAGGGAUUUUAUAUUGACUUGCUGCACACAUUUUGUAGCAACAGGUAAAGGGGGUUCAGAUACAGUUUUGUAGUGUAAUGCAGUUUUUUUUAUUUAUUUUUUUAUUUGCUUCUAUGCCUUCUGCAUACUAUAAACACCUAGGAUAUGUUUGUCAGUACCUUUACUCUUAAUGGAAUUUUGAAUUAUAAAGAGAAACUCCUUGAAGAUCUUCAGUCCACGUAAGCUUAAGAACAAAUGUGGUUGUACAGCCCCCUGUGCAAGGUAAACCAACACAGCAAAUUUGGAUGAGUGAAGCACAACAUUUAGAAGAAACUUCAAGAAACCAAGACCUGAUUUGCCUGCUGAUUUCUCCUAUAAGAAAGCCUAUAGAGUUUAACCUAAUGUACUUGCACAUGAUGACUGGGACAGGAAAUGCGAAAUGUCUCAAACUUCUACGAUAGAAGUUUUCAUCAGAUUGAUUAGGGGUGUAAGAUUAAAAAGGAAGUAUUGGAGGCAUACUUGGUGACCAAAGAUAUUAAUAUAUCAGCAGUCGGCCUGAAAGAUGAAAGAUCUAAACAGUAUGAAGCAGUCACUUCCUGGAAUGCUAUAGGUGUAAAUUGCAUGUAUGGAUAUAAAUACACUGAAAUGUAAUGAAAUACUAAAACUACUUUUUGUAAUGGCUAUAUUUCAAACCCAGGAGGAUAUCUUUUGACAAUAAAAAAUGAGAAAUUUCAA